GAAAGCAACACCCCUGGACGGGCUUUUUAGAAUCCCCAAACCGGCCAGAGCCCCACCGUCGACAUCAAGUGACCUGAUAAUUCAAUUCAGGCACGGAACAGACAAGGCGGCGAUCCUGAAGGCAAUCAGGGGUAGGCCAAAUUAUCGUUUUGAAAACAUGGCACUGGAAUUCUAUAAUGACCUGUCCGGCAGCACAAUGGCCUGGCGGAGGUCGCUCAAGCCCCUCACAUCCAUGCUCCAACAGCGCAACAUCGAGUACCGCUGGCGAAUGCCCCGCAUGCUUCAGAUCAUACAUGGAGAGACCACAUACCAAAUCCA